CCCUGAUGGUUACAGAGACUCUUGAUGGUCUCCUGGGGGAGCCAGAGAGUCAUCUCUUGUUUACAGGUUAAUAAUGUCAUUAAAUAUAUUUGCAUACCAGGACAUCAGCAGGAUUUCAAUAAAGAUAACUAGUGCAGGGUAAAGCUGGUUCCCAGGGAGGAUGGGGUGAUUCAUCACACACUUAAAAGAGAAGACCAGCCUCAUUUCCUCCCCAGCUUAAGGGGAAAUGAUUGCUCUACUUCUUGGCAGCAGGUCUCCAAGAGGGAGGGGCCUGGCCACCUCUCUGGCCCAGAUGAGGUGUCAGCCUCACUAGCUGAACUGAAGGCUGGCUUGAACAAUGCUCUGCAGUCUCCUUGCCCUGCUUCUGGGCCCUCUCUUGGGUGUCAGAACUCAGACCAUCCAUCAGUGGCCACCUACCAGGGUACAGCUUGUGGGCAGCCCACUCUCCCUGGAGUGCACCGUGAAGGGAACAUCUAACCCCAACCUAUACUGGUACCGGCAGGCUGCAGGGGGGCCCUCCAGCUGCUCUUCUACUCCUAUGGUGCUGAUGAGAUACACUCUGAGGCACCUCAGAACUUCAAAGCAUCCAGGUCCCAGGAUGGCAAGUUCAUCCUGAGUUCUAAGAAACUCCUCCUCAAUGACUCUGCCUUCUACCUCUGUGCCUGGAGUCUCACACUGGGCUGGGUGGGGCAGACAUCUGUGCAAAAACCCCACCCUCUCCAGAGUCUUCACCACCUUCUCUGGGAGCCCUCACUCAGGGACUGGGUGGAGGAUAUUUGUCACCCAGUUUCUGACUGUCAGCCAAUGUGAGAGCAACUGAAUCAAGCCAGACUCUCCAAAGUAACUUUACUAAGUUCUUAGGGAGAACCAAAAGAUUUCUGUGUACAGAACCUGUGAAUUGUGUACAGCUGGUCAAGUUCCCAACAUAUGGAUGUCUAGUCCUUGGCUAUCGUACCCCAGCCCUCAAGGGAUGCUAUACUUUGUCUAACACUCUAUUCUCCAAAUCCCUGUCAGCCUACACUGGGGAGUGG
rnacentral:lncRNA from 1 species